AAUAGGUAGAAACCUAUUGUGACAAUAGCAUUAUGACUAGUGGAUGUAAAUUCUCAAGUUGAGGAUUAAAUCGAUACUCACGAUAAGUCUUGGCUUGAGGGAGGUAGCUCCCCCUCGGGCGGUGCGCUCAGGAGUUGGUCACCACUGGGCGUGGUAAAGUCCCCCCAGAGGACAGUCCCUAGGGUGGUUCGAGUCCCCCGUUAUUAACGGAUUUCGAGUUGUGAGUUAUUAGGGUUAACCAGCAAGAUUGGGUAAAAGCCAAAGUAAAGAUAUAAAACAAGCAUGCAUGCAUGAGCAUUCAUUAUUUGAUUAUAUAUCCACUGACAUUUUUCUUGUAGGCAUAGUAUUAGCAUUAGUAUGGUUACAGUUUCCUUUUCUUUGAAAUACUUAUGCCUAAAUAGACCUAGUGGGUAAGUCGGCGAGGUCGGUUGCCGAACCUACUAGGAACUUCGUUGUAGUUCUCACACCACUAACCCCACAGGUCCGAGCGUGAGUGGGGCGACGGAGGAUCGAGGCAAGGGUAUUGGGCUAUAGCUAGUGGCCACCGGGACUUAUGCAUUUUGUAGUCAUUUUUUUUGUAUACAUAUAUCAACUUUCCUUUGUUGAUUUAGAGUUGUAAAGUUGUAAGCAAUCAUGUAUUUUUGGUGGAUGGCUAAAAUGUAAAGAAUUAUGAAUGUAAGUAAAAUGAAGAAUUAUGAAUGUAAAGAAUUAAGAAUUAUGAAUGUAUUUGGUUAAAAUGUAAUCAAAUAUCAUGUAUGGUUGUAUGUUUUAGCUUAGAGCUUUCGCUUCCGUUGUUGCUUGGUCUCGUGCAAGCCUUGUAUAAUUGCAUAUCUCUUUGUUUGAUUGCUUAAUUAUACUUGUUGUUAGAGCCUUGGGUGAACAGGGGAGAUACUGUCCGUUCGGCGUCUGUUGACGUGACCAGAACCCGACCAAAUUGGCGGGGAUUGGGGUGUGACAAACUUUUUUUUUACUCUAGCUCAUAUACCUAGAGUAAAAAAUUAAAUGCAAUAUCGACUACCCCUAAUACAUAUACUUAGGGCUAAGUCAAUUGUCUUAGCACAUAUAACUAAGGCAAACCAUCUCCAAAUCAAUAGAGUUCUAAAUUAUAUAUUUAGAAUUCAGUCAAAUGAUAUUCGACUAACCCUAACACAUAUCCUUAGGGUCUAGUCAACCUUUUGCUCUAACACAUAUACCUAGAGUGGAAGUCAAACCAAGCUUGACUAACCCUAACACAUACACUUGGGGUCUAGUCAGCCUUUUGCUCUAGCACAUCUACCUAGAGUGAAACCCAAACCUGAUCGAGCUCUAAUACAUAUACUUAGAGCUCAUGUAAAUCAAAUCCGACGAACCCUAACGCAAUAUCUUAGGGCUUAGUUAGAUCUUCGCUCUAGCACAUAUAACUAGAGUGAAAAAUAUAUUGUACUCGGUUAAUCCUGAUACAUAUACUCAGGAAUUAGCCACUCUCUACUUUCGGGUAACAUCAAAUCCGACCUACCUCAAUACAUAUACUUGGGGUUUGGUCACAUCUUUACCUUAGAUCAUACAACUAAGGUGAAACCAAAUAUAAUCGGACUCUAAAUCAUAUACUUAGAGCCAAUUAGACUCUAAUACAUAUACUUAGAGUUUAACAUCGACUAGGUCUUAACACAUAUACUUAGGACCUAGUCAACCUCAAAUCCAAUUGAAUCCUAAUACAUAUAUUUAGGAUUCAAUAAAUCAAGAUACGAUCCUCUCUAUAAAGGUCUCUUAAUCGAAGGUGCCCCAAUGCCAGGGGGUAAUUAACAAUAGAUGCUUGCAUCUAUUGGUAGCUAUGGACCCGCAAUACCUGAUACCCAUGUACAUACAAAUACUAAUCUGAAUCAUGAAUACUACCCCAUGGCGAAAUUUCAUCGACCGUGCGAGGUGCGUCAUUCGUGGUGGCAGACAAAAUGGCACACCCGGUGAGACAUGCCUUUUCCUUCCAUCUUCGAGACCUAAAAAAAAAAAAGAAAAAAAAAAAGAAAGAAAGAAAAGAGAGAGAAUGAGUCCUCACUUCUACCUCUUUGCAACAGGGAAAUAGCACCAACAUCAAAGAACGUUGUCGCUGCAUCAACAAACUCAAUGAUAUUGGAGGCGGGUUCGCAAAUCUGCUUGCCCACGUCUAUCCUGACGUUCAGAACUCCAGGUGCUUCAAUCCAAUUUGGCACCAUUCCGGAAGAUGUUCGAGCUGCCGAGCUGUUGUCAUGGCUCAAAUUUCUGCUGCUACUGGGGGCAAGAUUACUCCUGCCACCCCUUCGCAAGAUGUAAGCAAUGUCGUCAUUCCUCGGCUACCAUCUCGAGGAAGACGACCUAAUGUGGUCAUCCCCAACCCUCCUCGCCGACCCAUAGGUGAACGACUCACUUACCAACCUGCAUCCAAAAGGAUGGAGUUUGAAGGAAGACUGAUAUUCCCAAAGGGCAGGGUGCAGAAAGCAUCAGUAUUCGAUAGGCUGACGCUUUCUAAUGAUACUACAACCACUAUUCCUCCGACAAGAGUAUCCUUUAAGAGGAAUAGCUGCCAUCAACUCCACCGAGGAAAGAUUGCUGGGGGCAAGGACAAUAACGUUCAAGAGCUCCAAAUGAUCCAAUCAACUUUUCCAACUCACAACUCUUUCGCUCCAUUGGAGCUUGUGAAAAAGAAUGCGAUGACCGCUAUCUUACGGCCAAUGAAUCGGCCAGAAGUUUCGAAGAGAUGUCAAGGGACUAUCAAAGAACAUCAAGAGGAAAAUAUUUCUAAAAUAAUUUACAAGGCCUAUAAGGCCAUUAAGGGACGAAUGGGAAAGUUGGGAGCUCAAAAGCAAUUGUUACCACCUCGUAACAAAGUGUGGGUAUGAAAAGAAUUCGUCCCAAUGACUAACGACUCAUGUGAGAUGAAUGAAAAUAUGGUGGUCCAUACUAUUCGAAUGGUUGGACAUCAAGAGCUCGAUCAAUCAGAGGAGCAGGAGAUGCUAAAUCAAAUGCUUACUAGAGCUGCUGCUCGCAGAAAGGGGGUAGCGAAACAAAAUGAACCAGCGUCAUCUAACCUUCAAAGGUUAUCGGUGGACUCGUCUUUACCCGACAACCCUCAUGACGAGGAUGAAGAAGAAGAAGAACUAGUCUUCAUGGCCAAUGAUCCAAAAGAUGCCAUGAUUGCAUCUUUAAAAAGACAAAUUGAUGAAAAAGAUAGAUAUAUAAUUAAUCUCUAUAAAAAGAUGAACAGAGUUAUGUGUCUGCUACUGAAUGUACAGUCCAAUCUCGAAAAUCAACGAAACCAAGCUGCACCACAGUCAGAUGAAGUACGUCCGACUGUAUCCCAAUCGAUGAAUACACAGCAGCCAGCUCAGACGACGCCUUUUGUCGCACUUCUGUCGGCAUCAGCGGAACCACAAAACCACCAAAGCAACUUUCCUAUGACGAAUGAAGAAAUCCAGGAGUUGGUUUCAUCGCAAAUCAAACAAACGAUUGAUGAAGCAGCUCCAAAACGAUGAAGCAGGGGGCACCCAUACCCUAUAAAAUACGAUAACAUCCCAUUUCCUGAUAGGUAUAUCGUUCCCAAAUUCAAGACAUUUUAUGGAAUAGGCAACCCUGAUCAACACUUAGCACACUUCAAAGCUACAUGUGGGAAUACUGGAGGUAAUAGUGCACUCCUCUUGCGUCAAUUCCCUCAAAGUCUUUCAGGAGUGGCAUUCGAGUGGUAUUAUUCACUCGAAGAUGAAUCCAUCACAACGUGGGACGAUAUGGAAGAAGCUUUCAGAAAUAAAUUUGCCACUGUUAGCGAUAAGAUUAUGAUAGCUGACCUGGUCGCCACAAAAAGAAGGAAGGACGAAUCGAUGCUGGAAUACAUCACACGGUGGCAAAAUUUGAGCAUAGAUGUGAACAACCUAUUGAACAGACUCAAGCUGUUGGAUUGCUUAUGGGUAAUGUUGAUAAUUGGAUAGCUCCAUUCCUAUGUACCACGAAAUGUACUACAUUUCAAGAUUUAAUAUUAAAUGUUUCAAGGUUGGAGAGAACAGACCUGCACGCCCUGACGAACUUCCAAACCCAAAAGCCCAAACGGGAAGAGGGCAAAAGAGUUGAACACUUUAAGGCGGUACACACUAAUGUGCUGGAGAAAAUAAAGAAAGCUAUGACCACUAUAGCGGAGGAGGCACCUCUGAAGUCUGAAUUGGAUGGAAAUAAUUUUAAAGGGCCAACUUUUGAAGAAAGAAAGAAUAAAAUUUAUCCCUUCAAAAGAGAUAAGGUGAUAGAGAUGCGUUAAAGAGUGGCCUUCAACUGCCAAAACUGAGAAAAUUAGAAGAUGUUGGGAAAAUAAAUGACCCAAACUAUUGCUUGUAUCACCAGAUGAUUAGUCACCCCAUUGAAGAUUGUUGGGUAUUCAAAGACUGGGUAGAAAAGCAAUAUAAAGCCGGCAUGAUCACUCUUUCUCAAGCCGUGCUUACAGAUCCGCCAACUGAAAAUACGAAUUUUGUGAAUAUAAAAGAUGAAAAUAAUGAAGAAGAUGAUACGCCUCCUCCUGAAUUCUGGAAUAUCUUCUUAUCGAAAAAGACUCACAAAAUGUUGAAAUAUUUGAAUACAGUUCCUGAAAUUACAUGGAGAAAUCCAUUGCAUCCGAAAGUUCAGACAUCCUCAUCUGAAACAGCACCUAGUCCUCCUACUUUAGAAAAACGAAAAACAAUCUUAAAGAAAGGAGUACGAAAACUCGUGAAACCAGCUCAAUACAAAAAGCGGGAUGGAGUAUCAGCAGUAACAAUGCGAGACUUCAUAGUAAAAGCAUUAGAAGAUGCAGAGAAUAAAAAGAAGUCUCAAGAAACUGAGAAUAAGGAACUCUUUUAGCCUGAAACUUGUAGAGUCAUCUCAGUCAGAAGUGAUAAGGACUAUCUCUUAAACCAGCAGAGAACGUAUGACAACCAAGAUCAAUUAGCACAAAUUCAAGAGAUCAUGACCUUGAAUUUUGAUUGUCUGCGACCACGAAUGACGCACCUCGCACGGUUAAUCUUUUUUUAAUUUCCCGUUGAGUAGUAUUCAUGAUUCAGAUUAAUAUUUAAGUAUAUAUAGUUAUCAAGUAUUGUGGAUUCAUGGCUUCCAAUAAAUGCAAGCGUCUAUUGUUAAUUACCCCUAUAAAGUGUUAGGGCACCUUCGAUUAAGAGACCUCUGAAAUGUCGAAAUAGACUGAAAUUGAAUAAAAGAUGAAUUUUAUAACACAAUCUGUUAUAUAGUUACAUAGCUUAACCAAGGGCAUACCCCCGGUAUACAUGAAUAGAGAAAGUGCUUAGUUUAACGACAUGACGGUCGAUUAAAUUAGGUUGCUCAGUUUAACGACGUUGCGGUUGAUUGGAUUUAAAUUGCUCAGUUUAACGACAUGGCGGUCGAUUAGAUUUAUAGUUUAACGACAUGGCGGUCGAUUAGAAUGAUUUGCUCAGUUUAACGACAUAGCGGUCGAUUAGAUUUGAUUUGCUCAGUUUAACGACAUGGCGGUUGAUUGAAUUGAUUUGCUCAGUUUAACGACAUGGCGGUCGAUUGAAAUGAUUUGUUCAGUUUAACUACAUGGCGGUCGAUUAGAUUUGAUUUGCUCAGUUUAACAACAUGGCGGUCGAUUAGAUUUGGGCUGCUCAAUUUAUCGAUAUGGCGGUCGAAUUGAAAUUUAAGUUGCUCAGUUUAACGACAUGACGGUCGAUUAAAUUUAAUUUGCUCAGUUUAACGAUAUAGCGGUCGAUUGAACUUAGAUUGCUCAUUUUAACGACAUGGCGGUCGAUUGAAUUUAUGUUGCUCAUUUUAACAUGGCGGUCGAUUGAAUUGAGUUGCUCAGUUUAACUACGUGGCGGUCGAUUGGAUUUAAAUUGCUCGACUUGGACUCACCUUUAGCUUAAACUUCUGAGUUUGGAGGGCAUGAUGUAGGUGAAGGGCAAGUACACGAAAUGAACUUGACUUGGCAUACAUGAAUUUGAAAGUUUAAAUUCAAAAGUUUAAAUUUCAACUUAAAAUUUAGAAUUUUAGCAUAAAAUUUGAAUGGAGUAUAAAACUUUAGAUUUAAAUUUAAAAUUUGAAUUUGAGUUAGUUUUCAUUUUGAAAUUGAAUUUUAAUUAAAGUUUUGAGUUUGAAGUUGAAUUUAAUUUUCGUUUUAAGUUUAAAUUUCAAUUCAAAUUGGAAUUUUAAUUUUACCUCAAAUUUACAUUGGAUUAAGUUUGAGUUUGCAUUCAUACUCUAUUUAAAUUUGCAUCUUAAAUUUGAGUUUAAACUUAAAUUUUGGUUUUAGAAAUAAAUUUGAAUUUGAAUAUCAUUUAUAAAUUUUAAUCUAAAAUUUACAUUUAUGCUUUAGUCAGAUUUUAAGUUUGAUUAAAUUUUGAUUUGAAUUUUGAUCGUGGUUUAGUUUUAAAUUUGAUUUUGGAUUGCUUGAGUUUAGGAUAAGAUUUGAACAUUGAUUACAAAUUCGAAUUUUGAAUUUUGAAUUUUAGCUUUUCAUUUAUGUCACGCCCCAAUCCCCGCCAAUUUGGUCUGGUUCGGGUCACGUCAACAGACGCCGGACGGACAGAGCCUUCCCCGUCCGCCCAAGGCUCUAACAAUAUGUAUAAAUAGGCAAUCAACAAGAGAAUUGCAUAUAUAAUACAAGGCUUGCACGAGGGCAAGCAGCAACGGAAGCGAAAGCUCUAAGCUAAAUAUACAUCACACAUGAUAUUUGAUUUCAUUUAAACCAAAUUCAAGUAAACAAAGUUAUUACAUUUCAUUCAACCAUCAUAUCUUUUACAUUUAGCCAUCCACCAAAUACAUGAUUGUUUACAACUUUACAUCUCUAAAUCAACAAAAUAAAGUUGAUACAUGUAUAACAAAAAGGGAAUGACUACAAAAUGUGUAAAGUCCCGGUGGCCGCUACCUAUGGCGCCAAACCCUUGCCUCGGUCCUCCGCCGCCCCGCUCGUGCUAGGACCUGUAGGGUUAGUGGUGUGAGAACUACAACGAAGUUCCCAGUGGGCUCGGCUCCGACCUCGCCGACUUACCCACUAGGUCCAUCCAGGCAUAAGUAUUUCAAAGGAGAGAAAAUAACCACUACUAAUGCAACUAAUACUAUGCCUGCAAGAAAGAAGUCGGUAGACAUAUAAUUCGAUGCGGUAAUGGAAAUGCAUGCAUGCUCCAAUCAUAAUCAAACUUUGGCUCUUACCCAAUCUUACCGGUUAACUCUGUUAACCCCAAUAACUCACAACCCAAAAUCCCUUAAUAACGGGGGACUCGAACCUCCCUAGGGACCGUCAAUUGGUGGGACUUUACCACGCCCAGUGGUGACCAACUCUGGAGUGCACCGCUCGAGGGGGAGCGACCUCCCUCAAGCCAAGACGAAAUGUGAGUAUCGAUCUAAUCCUCAACUUGAGGACUCAUAGCCACUAGUCACAAUGCCAAUGUCACGAUAGGUCUCUACCUAUUCAUUCUUGCCACUCUCAAGGCUUUACCUUUGACGAUGUCAAAAUGGGUUAAACUAUAUUCAACGGUUCAUCUCUCAAUGCAAAUCUUGUUUCUAUGUCAAUGUCACCCAUAUUUUCUAUUGUCCAAGUCAAUUCUCACAUUCACACAACUUGAGGGUCCAAUCACACAUGUCCAUUUGGUUCUAUCAUCCUCUGUUCAACCACGUUAGAACCAUAUAAAUGAAGUCAAACCAAGUUCCGCCUGUAACAACCCUACUAUGCAUGAGUGGAUAUAUACAUAAAACAUAUAUGCUCAAGAAUAGAGAAAACAGACAUAGAAGGGAAUCCAACGAUUCCGGCGUGCACCCCCCACCUCUAAUAAUCGUGUGGGUGUAGUAUAUGACGUCUCCCGGAUUUUACGAAAGCCGCCUCCGCGCCCUAUAAUCAAAACGGUGCCAUAUUAGGCCUUUUUGUACAUGAACUAUACUCUAUCAUUUUCGCAAUGUUAAACGAAGUUGUCCCACGCGUUUAGGACACCCCCAAUUAGAUUUUUUUACGGGGUCAAUUUAUCCCCGAAAAAUCCUAGGGCAAAAACCCCAAUUCCAAGCCCUAAUAUUGUCAUUUAGGGUUUUCCCACGAAUCGAUCCCAACUCUAAGCAAACAAUAGCUUAGGAUCAUCUAAGAAGCAUCCUAGUAAGGUUUCUAGACCUUUGGUACCAACCCUAGGGCUCCAAACACCACUUCCAAGGAUUCACCAUGAGAGCACUUUAAGCUCUCAUGGGAACCAUGGUGUACAUGGCUCAAAAGAGUCUUUAAAGCCUCUAGGGAGCACAAAGCUCCCAUUUUCUAAACCAAAAUCCAAAUCCUAGGCUCAUUUCUACCAAAAACUCACCUUAGCCCUAGCUCCUCCAAGUCCUUCUUGUAGGAGAGCUUGUAGAACCCUCCAAAGCCUCCAAAUCCUCCUCCUCUCCACUUCUUCUUCUUCUUCUCCAAGUCCUAGAGCAUGAGUUCUAGAGAGAGAAAGAGAGGAAAUGGGUGAGAAGGGUGAAAAUGGCUGUGGGAGAGAGGAGAUGAAUCAUAUAUAGUGUUGUGACAAUUGCACUUAAGCCCCUCCACUUGUUUCUUCUUGAUCUGCCCAGACUGGGCGUUUUUCACCUUCGGGGACCGGUCUCCCCGACCAGGGACCGGUUCCCGAACGGGGGUUUUCUAGGACUUAGCCAAUUUUUCGAGUUUUCGGCUAUUGCGCAGCGAGGGACCGGUCUGCCUGUCACGCCCGGGUACCAGCGGAAGCAUAUCCGGCACGUGCACAGACCCGCCAUACACCUGCAGUAUAUAAGGCGUCUACAAGCAACAAGUCGAUAGGAGUAAAAACAUAUAAUAAGUCUAUCCUGAUAUCAGAGCAUAGUAAAACUCACAAAGACUAUCAAUAAGAGAACAAUAGUAUAAACCCAAAAUCUCAACCAUCAACGAAGUAUCACAACUAUAGUGACUGUCCAAAAGUACAUAUACAUCACGGGGUCAACAAAAGAAUAGAUACAACGGUGGUCUCUCUAUACAUAGGGACAUCACCCUCGGCCGUAGCCCGAGUAGCAAGGUGAUCGACUAGCACGCUCCUAGUAGUCCCUAGCUAGGCGCGACUCCCUUGCCACGAUCCCUAGCCUCUCCUGUAACAGGCUCUGUAAAAACACGUGAAAACUAUUAAAAUAGUUUCCAGUGGGUAAGCCGGCCAGCCCCUCGAGCGAAUUACACCACUAGGCUCAUGAUGUACUUAAUGAAAGCAAAGUAGUCAAUUGCGAUGAAUAUAUAAUUAUGCAGUCCUGCUAACAGUAAUAGCAAUGUAAAAUUAAUGAACUAUAACAACAUGUAAUUCUAGUCUCAAAGUAAUAAUUUAACUUGAUAUGGAGCAUGGCCACUACUAGACAUAAACAUGGCCUAAAUGUGUAAGUAAUUGUUCAUGUAUUGGUAACAUUUCAUACCUGUUCCAAUUUCCUUUAGCUUUCAUUCAUCAGGACCUACCCAAGGUAGUCCAGCUUGCGCCGUGCCUAAUGGUCCCGUGGUAGUAUAUACUCCCCACAGCAAUCCACUUCGGCACCCAAUCCCGCACGGGCGAACAACUGUCGCGUAGGCCAACUCCGGAGUGCCGGCUUGUAGGGAGCGACCCUCACAAGCGUGUGCGAAUGAGCACGAUGGCAAGCAAGCAUAUUUCACUGUCCACAUGUCUCAAAUAUCAUGUUUUCAUUUGCAAUGUUCUUACUCUCGAUCCUCCGAUCGGAAAUUCAAUACACAAAUAGUAACAAGAACUAGUAUCCACUAGAUUGUAAACAUGUCCGAGUAAUGCUAAAGCACAAGGCAUUAUAAUCUUUCCACUAUUAUGGCACUAUCAACAUGGUCAUAAGCAUGUCAUGGUUCUCUACUUUAGAGUCCAGAGAAUGUCAUUGUUCUCUAUUUUACCAUCGAUAAAGUCACGAGAAUAUCAUUGUUCUCUACUUUACAACAGCAUAAAUAUCAUAUCCAUUAUUUAUCUAAUUUAACUAAAGAUAAACAUAAAUAUAAGCAUAAGUACAAUUAUGCAUGAAUUCUCUCUACUUCAUAGAGGUUCUAUUAAAUGUUAAGGCAAGGAAGUUCCAACAACCAUAUUAUGCCAAUAUCGCACAAUUAUCUCAAAUUCCAUACAUAUAGAACAUAGGGGAGCUUCACUUGCUCUGGUUAGGUCAAACCCACCUAGUAUGAGGCUCCAACUAUCCACAAGAAGUCCCACAAACGGCUCAACGAAGCCCCAAUGCUGCUGAAAAAACAAAUGUCAAGAUCGGAGUAAAUCUACGGCCGAAAUGUCCGAUUUCGGCUCAAAUCACAUCUCGUAUCAAGUAGCAACAUAAAUCGCUGUUUUGGUUCACUUUAGUACCUUCAAUUAAGUCUCUAAAGGCUUCCCAAAGCCAACCAAGGAUGACCCAAAGGUCAGUCGAACUCCCGCUGCGAUCAACACCAAUACGACAUCAAAAUCAUCAUAUAAUAGCAAAUAUAGUCGGAAUCUUGCGAAUUCAGUUUUCUAACUGAAAUCCUUGCUUACCUCAGGUUAGAAUACCUUCCAAACCAACUUCUAAGAGUACAAGUUCAGCUCAACGAGGCUCGAAGACCUGCUGCGAAGAAAUAAUCCCGAAAUUGCAUCAAUUCGCGCAAAUAAGUGCAAUUAGUUCUAAUUUAGCUUCAUAAUUGGCUAAAUAUUCAAUUAAGCUUCAAAGUAGCUUAUCCCUGGUCUAAGAAGGUUAAUUCACAGCUAAUUAACUCAUUUAUAAUAGCUGAAUUCUCAGUUUAGCACAGCCAAGAGCAAAAAUCCGAAAUCGCUACUCAAAUCGACGAAUAGAACGUCGAUAACGACAAAAGUGAGUCGAUUACCUUCUUAAGCUUCCAACCAGUGACCUGCUGAUCUAGGGCUGCGAAAACCUGUCCAAAACACUCUCCCACGUGUCCGCGAAAGCUCUGCAACGCUCGCAAACAGCGAAGAACAAGCGCGGCGACGAAAACGGUGCAAAACGGCGACUUUUCUCUAGAGAGAGAAAAACCCUAGAGAGAGAGGAAGAGAAAAAUGGGAGAACCCUUCUCUGGACUCCAGACCCUUCCACAGUGCUCCUGGAGUCGUGCUGGGGGUUAUAGAUAGGGAUCAAAAUGUGAAAAGACCAAAAUAGCCUUGCUGCCACGAAUUGCCACUGUGUACCGGUACACCAUUGCGGCUGUACCGGUACAGCAAGCAGAAAAGGCUGAUUUUCGCCAGUUCAAUGCACUUUCUCACUUCUCGCAUUCCAAACAUCCUCUAACUUAUCCAAACACUUGUUCUAACCUUUUAGAACAUGUAAGAGUGAUCCACACACCAUUCCACACACUCGAACUCUGCAAUUUGCGAAAGUCCAGUGUAUUACAUUCACCCCUCCUAAAAAGAAGUUUCGUCCGCGAAACUUGUAAANAAGAGAACAAUAGUAUAAACCCAAAAUCUCAACCAUCAACGAAGUAUCACAACUAUAGUGACUGUCCAAAAGUACAUAUACAUCACGGGGUCAACAAAAGAAUAGAUACAACGGUGGUCUCUCUAUACAUAGGGACAUCACCCUCGGCCGUAGCCCGAGUAGCAAGGUGAUCGACUAGCACGCUCCUAGUAGUCCCUAGCUAGGCGCGACUCCCUUGCCACGAUCCCUAGCCUCUCCUGUAACAGGCUCUGUAAAAACAACCACCAAAAGGGCGUGAAAACUAUUAACAAUAGUUCCCAGUGGGUAAGCCGCCAGCCUCGGCGAAUUACACCACUAGGCUCAUGAUGUACUAAAUGAAAGCAAAAGUAGUAAUUGCAUGACAUAUAUAAUUAUGCAGUGCUAACAGAUAAUAAGCCAAUGUUAACAAAUAAUGAACAUAUAAACAACAUGUAAUUCUAGUCUCAACAGUAAUGAUUUAACUGAAUAAUAGGAGCAUGGCCACUACUAGCAUAAACAUGGCAUAAAUGUGUAAGUAACUACUGUACACUGUAUCUGGUAAUCAUUCAUUACUGUCCAAUUUCCUUUAGCACUUUUUCUUUCAUUCACAGGGACCUACCCAAGGUAGUCCAGCUUGCGCCGCGCCUAGUGGCCCCGUGGUAGUAUACACUCCCCACGGCAAUCCACUUCGGCACCCAAUCCCGCACGGGCGAGCAACUGUCGCGUAGGCCAACUCCGGAGUGCCGGCUUGUAGGGAGCUACCCUCACAAGCGUGUGCGAAUGAGCACGAUGGCAAGCAAGCAAAGUCCACAGUCCAACAUGUCUCAAUUAUUACAUUUUCAAUGUUCUCGGUCUUGAUCCUCGAUCGGAAUUUCAAUACACACAGAGUAACAAGAACUCGUAUCCACUAAAUUGUCUAUUAUGGCACUAUCAACAUGGUCAUAAGCAUGUUAUAGUUUUCUACUUUAGAGUCAAGCAAACGUCAUUGUUCUCUACAAAGUCACGAGAAUAUCAUUGUUCUCUACAAAGUCACGAGAAUAUCAUUGUUCUCUACUCUACCAAAGCAUCAUUAGUAUGUCCAUUAGUUAACUUAACUAAAUAUAAACAUAAACAUAGGCAUAAAGACACUUAUGCAUGAGUACUCUCUACUUCAUAGAGGUUCUAUUCAAUCAUAUGUAUACAUAUCAACACUAUAAUAUAGUGACUCGUCUCAAAUUCUGUAUCAAUCACAAAAGCAUACAACUGUAUCAAUUCUAUAGUACAUAUAGAACAUAGGGGAGCUCCACUUGCUCUGGUUAGGUCAAACCCACCUAGUACUAGGCUCCGAUCAGCCCAAAAGAAGUCCCACAAUCAGUUCUAACAGGCCUCGACUCCGCUGAAAAACGAACAUCAAAUCCGGAUUGGAAACCAUCAGUAUAAUAUCCGAAAUCGGCACAAUUUCACUUUGUACACAAAAGCAACUUGAAUCCCUGUUUAGGGCUAGUUCAAUACCUUCGGUUAUGCCUCUAAGGGCCCUCACAAGUCAACUGAAGAUGAUCCCAGGCUCGAUCGCACUCCUGCUGCGAACGACAUCAAAACGGCAUCAAAAUCAUUGAAUAGUAAUAAUUAUAGCCGGAAACUUGCGAUUUCGGUUUUCUAACUGAAGUUCUAGCUUACCCUUGGUUAGAACACCUUCCAAACCAACUUCUAAGAGUACAAGUUCAGCUCAACGAAGCUCGAAGACCUGCUGCGAAGAAAUAAUCCCGAAAUUGCAUCAAUUCGCGCAAAUAAGUGCAAUUAGUUCUAAUUUAGCUUCAUAAUUGGCUAAAUAUUCUAUUAAGCUUCAAAGUAGCUUAUCCCUGGUCUAAGAAGGUUAAUUCACAGCUAAUUAACUCAUUUAUAAUAGCUGAAUUCUCAGUUUAGCACAGCCAAGAGCAAAAAUCCGAAAUCGCUACUCAAAUCGACGAAUAGAACGUCGAUAACGACAAAAGUGAGUCGAUUACCUUCUUAAGCUUCCAACCAGUGACCUGCUGAUCUAGGGCUGCGAAAACCUGUCCAAAACACUCUCCCACGUGUCCGCGAAAGCUCUGCAACGCUCGCAAACAGCGAAGAACAAGCGCGGCGACGAAAACGGUGCAAAACGGCGACUUUUCUCUAGAGAGAGAAAAACCCUAGAGAGAGAGGAAGAGAAAAAUGGGAGAACCCUUCUCUGGACUCCAGACCCUUCCACAGUGCUCCUGGAGUCGUGCUGGGGGUUAUAGAUAGGGAUCAAAAUGUGAAAAGACCAAAAUAGCCUUGCUGCCACGAAUUGCCACUGUGUACCGGUACACCAUUGCGGCUGUACCGGUACAGCAAGCAGAAAAGGCUGAUUUUCGCCAGUUCAAUGCACUUUCUCACUUCUCGCAUUCCAAACAUCCUCUAACUUAUCCAAACACUUGUUCUAACCUUUUAGAACAUGUAAGAGUGAUCCACACACCAUUCCACACACUCGAACUCUGCAAUUUGCGAAAGUCCAGUGUAUUACACUGCCCCUCCAGGGACCGGUCUCCCGAGGACCGGUCUCACCACGAAGGACCGGUUGCCUCAGGACUUCCUGGCAGGCUGCGCGUACGGGGACCGGUCUCUCCUUCAAGGACCGGUCCCCGAGAGCUCAAAAUCUGGGACUUAGCCAGAUUUCCAAAUUUGCUCUCCGGGUCCCCUUUUUGCUCCGUUUAAGAACUCCAAUGCACUUUGGGUCCGCUUUAACCCAUUCAAUUUCGCGUUCCGCUCGUGUUGACGGAACUCGACGCGAUUUACGAGGGAUGUGGUAUGUUACAAUUUAACUUUGCGUUUAGAUUUAGAUUGAAUUUAAUUUGAUUUUAUGAUUUUGGUUUAAUUUUGUCUAAAUUUAAUUUUAGAUUGGAAGUUAGCUUAAAUUAAAUUUGAAUCCCUAAUUCAAGUUUUAAAUUGGAGUCUGAGUUUUAAAUUUAAUUGCCGUUUCAGUUUUAGUCGAGUUUAACUUUGGUUCAAGUUUUAAUUUGAUUUACUUUAAGUUUUAAUCAAAUUUUAAUCUCAAAAAGUCAUUCAGAUUUUAGAUAACAAAUCAAAUUCAAAACGGUCCCAUGCCAAGUCCAUCAUGUAUUUGUUUAUUGCCACGAGUCCGAAGUCAAGUGCAUCAUAUGCAAGUCUUAAUUGAACCAAAGUUCUAAUUCAAUCCAAAAGCCUUAAUUUGAGAUUAGUAAACUGAAGCAUGCAGCAUGUAGCAUGCAGCUUUUUGAUCUUAUUAGAUUCCGAUUGGGCCCUCAUUUGACCCAAAUUUGCACUCGUCCUUAGUGCAGCCAUAGAUGAUUAUCAAAUAUUCUUUUCCGCGAGCGGCUAAGCGCCAAGCGGAUAAUGUAUCAAAUAUUCUUUUUCGCCAGUGGCUAAGCGCCAAGCAGAUAAUGUAUCAAAUCUUUUUUUUUCUGCCGGCGGCUAAGCGCCAAGCAGAUAAUGUAUCGAAUUUUCUUUUUCGCCGGCGGCUAAGCGCCAAGCAGAUAAUCAUGGGUCUUCUCAAAUAACGUGGUUGUCGAUGUGGUGGCGAGUGGCCGCCAUUCUUGCCCUCUAUCGAUGACAAAGCGCCGACAGAUAAUCAUCAAUUUUCCCUUCCCCUGACGGCUAAGCGCCAAGCGGAAUAUUGCCAAUUUCAAGGCUCUUUCUUCG
rnacentral:lncRNA from 1 species